AUUGAACGCUGGCGGCAUGCCUAACACAUGCAAGUCGAACGGGGGUAGCGAUACCCUAGUGGCGGACGGGUGAGGAACGCGUAGGAAUCGGCCCACGAGUGGGGGACAACCUGGGGAAACUCAGGCUAAUACCGCAUGAGCUCGGGAGAGGAAAGCGGGGGAUCUUCGGACCUCGCGCUGGUGGACGAGCCUACGUCCGAUUAGCUGGUUGGUGAGGUAAAGGCUCACCAAGGCGACGAUCGGUAGCGGGUCUGAGAGGACGACCCGCCACACUGGGACUGAGACACGGCCCAGACUCCUACGGGAGGCAGCAGUGGGGAAUAUUGGACAAUGGGCGCAAGCCUGAUCCAGCAAUGCCGCGUGGGUGAAGACGGCCUGCGGGUUGUAAAGCCCUUUAGGCGGGGAGGAACGACGGAGCGUUAAUACCGUUUCGAAGUGACGUUACCCGCGGAAUAAGCACCGGCUAACUCCGUG
rnacentral:rRNA from 1 species